GAUCACCAUCUCCCUCAUCUAUCUCCUCUCCACUCUCUCUCUCUCUCUCUCUGUCUCUCUCUCUGUCCACCUUUCUCCUCCUUCUCCUCCAUUGAUCUCUCAUCUCUACAUGAGCAAGGAGCUAUGACCCUGGACGGUUUCUGCUCAUCCUCCCACAUCAUCAUCAUAACCUCUGGUUCUCUCGCUCUAUAAUCCAACACACUCCAUAGCUCUUCCUCCUUUGACACUUGAUCCAACAUGCUCCACCCUACCCACAGGACUUGAUCAUCCAUCUUCACGUUGUUGGUAUUUAAGAGAGAGGGAAGGAGAGGGAGAGUAAGAGAACGAUGAGGGAGAAGGAGGGAGGGAGGGAGGGGGGGAGAGAGAGAGAGAGAGAGAAUGGAGGUGUCAUUUCCUUCCACUGUUAACCUCGAUCUCUAGGAACUAGAGUUGGCGGCCUCUAACACUCGCAACCUCACCAUUCGACUCCAUCCAUGGCACCCUUUAGUCCAUCGAGCUCCUCCUCUCUUUCUUCGUCGUGUUCACCAUCUUUUUCAAGAGUCAUGUUUUCACUCUAUUUAUCUUUAUUUUUUGAAUAUAAAACAAAGAAUAUGCUUCUUGUUGUGGUGCAAGCUGUUCUUCAUGGCUCAAUUCCAAUGCCUACAUCUAACCUUAACCAACUCAUCUCCAAUUUAUCCUCCUUUGACCUCCCCACCAAGGACUUGGUUGCUCUCUCUAGUAUGUAUUGUUCCUAAUGUCGUCAUGAAUUUCCUCGUCAAUUUCUUCUAACAUUAUAGGUGGCUAUUCAAUUGGACAAGCGAGGUGCACCGCUUUCAGAGUGCACAUGUGCACGGAGCGCACUACUAUAUAUACAUUCAAUUGGACAAUCGAGGUGCACCGCUUUCGGAGUGCACAUAUACACGGAGCGCACUGCUAUAUAUAUAUAUAUAUAUAUAGGUCAACUCAACCUUGUGGAGGAGGCCGUUGGUAAAGGUGAGCAUGGCUACUGGCUACAUGAAAGGGAGUGUGAAUUGGGCAUGGCUGUGAUGCUUGGCAAGCGUCAUGACCUGCUUGACGGUGGUCACAGCACUGCUACCUGUUCUCUUCUUGGUAGAGAUGGGAAUAAGCCAGCCAAUCAGUUAGAAAAGCCUUGAGCCCGGAAGGGUGGCAUCUACAUUCCGGAUGAAAGCGAAGUAUAAAAAGCUUCGGGCAGUUGACCACCGCAAGGGAUAGAGGAAGGAGGAUGAUGAUGAACAUUGAAGAAAAACUAGAUCUUUUAUGCCCACGUGAACUAGAAGCUAAGAGAAAGAAAGACUUUUCAUACUUGAAUCAGCAGCAGAGGCAAACGAAGAGUAGUAACUCGAGAAGAAAAUCACAUUUGAGGCGAACGGAUAAGCACAGCAUCGACGAUGGCUACACGAAUGACGGUGCUGGCUUCGGGGGAGGAGGAAGAAGGCAGAUUCAGUUGAGAGGCAGCGCAGAAUGUCAGUGCUCUCAAAACUCUUUCUCUAGUCUAGAUCCAUCGAGAAAGAAGAAAGAAAGAGUUGAAAAAAUCUGAUGAAACCAAUGGCAAUUUAGUAAUUUUGCAUGACCAGAAAAAUAAAAAAAAUUCAACUCUUCUUUUGUACUCUUCCGGAUUCAAACUGGG